rnacentral:rRNA from 1 species
CUACUGCCAUACCAGGCUGAACGUGCCCAAUCUUGUCUGACCUUGGAAGCUAAGCAUGGUCCAGGCUGGUUCACACUUGGAUGGGAGAAAAACUAUGGCUAGAAGCAGUUCAGC